CAGUCGAACGAAGCACUUUAUUUGAUUUCCCUCGGGACUGAUUAUUUUGUCACUGAGUGGCGGGCGGGUGAGUAACGCGUGGGUAACCUGCCUUGUACAGGGGGAUAACAGUUGGAAACGGCUGCUAAUACCGCAUAAGCGCACGGCAUCGCAUGAUGCAGUGUGAAAAACUCCGGUGGUAUAAGAUGGACCCGCGUUGGAUUAGCUAGUUGGUGAGGUAACGGCCCACCAAGGCGACGAUCCAUAGCCGACCUGAGAGGGUGACCGGCCACAUUGGGACUGAGACACGGCCCAAACUCCUACGGGAGGCAGCAGUGGGGAAUAUUGCACAAUGGGCGAAAGCCUGAUGCAGCGACGCCGCGUGAGCGAAGAAGUAUUUCGGUAUGUAAAGCUCUAUCAGCAGGGAAGAUAAUGACGGUACCUGACUAAGAAGCACCGGCUAAAUACGUGCCAGCAGCCGCGGUAAUACGUAUGGUGCAAGCGUUAUCCGGAUUUACUGGGUGUAAAGGGAGCGCAGGCGGUGCGGCAAGUCUGAUGUGAAAGCCCGGGGCUCAACCCCGGUACUGCAUUGGAAACUGUCGUACUAGAGUGUCGGAGGGGUAAGCGGAAUUCCUAGUGUAGCGGUGAAAUGCGUAGAUAUUAGGAGGAACACCAGUGGCGAAGGCGGCUUACUGGACGAUAACUGACGCUGAGGCUCGAAAGCGUGGGGAGCAAACAGGA
rnacentral:rRNA from 1 species